rnacentral:rRNA from 1 species
GACGAACGCUGGCGGCGCGCCUAACACAUGCAAGUCGAACGGAGCUUAGAGAGCUUGCUUUUUAAGCUUAGUGGCGAACGGGUGAGUAACGCGUGAGUAACCUGCCCUAGAGUGGGGGGACAACAGUUGGAAACGACUGCUAAUACCGCAUAAGCCCACGGUGCCGCAUGACACUGAGGGAAAAGGAUUUAUUCGCUUUAGGAUGGACUCGCGUCCAAUUAGCUAGUUGGUGAGGUAACGGCCCACCAAGGCGACGAUUGGUAGCCGGACUGAGAGGUUGAACGGCCACAUUGGGACUGAGACACGGCCCAGACUCCUACGGGAGGCAGCAGUGGGGGAUAUUGCACAAUGGGGGAAACCCUGAUGCAGCGACGCCGCGUGGAGGAAGAAGGUUUUCGGAUUGUAAACUCCUGUCGUUAGGGACGAUAAUGACGGUACCUAACAAGAAAGCACCGGCUAACUACGUGCCAGCAGCCGCGGUAAAACGUAGGGUGCAAGCGUUGUCCGGAAUUACUGGGUGUAAAGGGAGCGCAGGCGGGAAGACAAGUUGGAAGUGAAAACCAUGGGCUCAACCCAUGAAUUGCUUUCAAAACUGUUUUUCUUGAGUAGUGCAGAGGUAGAUGGAAUUCCCGGUGUAGCGGUGGAAUGCGUAGAUAUCGGGAGGAACACCAGUGGCGAAGGCGGUCUACUGGGCACCAACUGACGCUGAGGCUCGAAAGCAUGGGUAGCAAACAGGAUUAGAUACCCUGGUAGUCCAUGCCGUAAA